rnacentral:tRNA from 1 species
GCACUAGUGGUAGAAUAGUACCUUGCCACGGUACAGACCCGGGUUCGAUUCCGGCUGGUGCA